rnacentral:tRNA from 1 species
GCCGCGAUGGCGGAACUGGUAGACGCGCACGACUCAAACUCGUGUAGAGGAAACUCUGUGAGGGUUCGAUUCCCUCUCGCGGCA